GGUGCACGGCGGGGGCCGGCAGCAUUUGGCAGCGGCGCGGCGGGGGCGGCGCCGCCGCGGAGAGGUGGAAGAAAAGCGCCGGGCGCGCUUUAAACGACGGGGAAGGUGGGAACGAGCAGCCCCCCUCGGCGCGAGCAGCCGCCCCCGUGACGCCUCCCCGAAAGCCUGAUACAGUAUACUUUAGCAGAGAGAAAGACUGACCACUGAAAAAGAAAAUCAUGAAAGAGGAGUGGCAAUCUGCUGGCAAUAUGCUGCCUGCAACAUGAUGGAGAAUGAGGACAGUGAAGAUAAUCUGAAAGAUGCAAGGGUGGUUAGAACAGAGUAGAUACUUAAAAAUAUGUUUUGGAAUGAGAUCUGCAGACUACACCACCACCUUGUAAAAACGAUUACCAGAUAUGUCAACAACAGCAACCAAAAAAGAUUAAAAUCAGUUCUAAAAAUGCUUUUGCUUUGGUGUCACAAACCACUCCCUUCAUGGUCAAAAUACCUUAAAAUGUUCAGGUUAAACAAGUGAUUAAUCUAAAAAGCAGACGCAGUAAAUUAAAGGAGCAGGGAGAUAACAAUCUGAUAAUACAGGAGCACAGAAGGCCUAAUAAUGAUAUUAUUAUGCACACUAACCAAACACUGACAAACAAAUAUUCUGUUAAUUAUAUAAUCAUGCAUAUGCUUCCUAUGCUUGAGAUAAAUGAUUAUGGAAAACAACUCUGUUCUUGAAACUCCAUAUAUGUACUUAUGUCAUACAAAUUCCCAGCAAUGUGGAUUAAUUUAAUUUCUGUGUAUCACUCUGGUAAAGUAUUCACUACAGAUUUUUGAAUGCUGGCAUGAAAUCUUCGCUUUGACUUGAAAGCAAGAAUUAAUGAAAGGUGCUGUGUCUUGACAUACAGACAACAAUCAGAUUUUACUUAUCAAUUCCAAACUAUUUGGAAUAAAUUUAAGAUACACUUAUCUGAUUUUUCCUUUGACCUAUUCCAAUUUGCACUCCACUGUGUCAACUUCAAUAUUUAAGUGUUCCACUAGAAUAAAGAUACUUACAAUAAAAAACAUAUAUAAAGAACAGAAGAUGAAUAGAUAUUGUCAUGGAUACAUAUGCAGGCAAUCAUUUAAACAUGCAGCAAUAGUAACAUCACAUUUUUCAUAGCUUCUAGUCAACAU